GCUACACAGAGAAACCCUGUCUCGAAAAAAACCAAAAAAAAAAAAAAAAAAAAAAAAAAGAGGAAUCAGAAGCUGGGUUAAGGGAAGUGAAGACCAUGGACUGUAAGAUCUUGGAGGCUAGUCUGCACUUGGGUUUGCUGAUAGGCACCGCAGUGAGCCUUUUGUCCUGAAAUUCUUUGUAACAAACUGACAUGUGCCCCAAGAUUUCCCACACUCUGUACAUUGUCUCAUAUAUUAGUUCCCAUCUCUUGCAAAAGGAAGCUUCUCUAAUGAUGACUGAGCAAGACACCGAUCUGUGAGUAUAGCAGAAUGUUACUAGGAGUCAUUUUACUGUCGUGUUUCAUUAGCAGAACAAUAAUACUUUGUUUUCCCCUAGACCCAUGGCCUAUCCAAUUUCAGGUUAUUGGCUACCUGAACAGUAUUAAGCAUGGAUUCUAUCUCAUGGAGUGGGCCUUAAAUCCAACCAGGUAAUGGUUGGUUAUUUCCACAGCAUUUGGGCUACUAUUUCAUCAGCAAGCUAUGCAGAUAGGUCACCAUUGCAGAACAAAGGGUUUGUGUCAGAAUUAGUGUUUAACCUUUCUCUGGUGGUGGUAGAGUACCUUCUAGUAGCAUAACAGUACUCAAUAGGAGAUAAAGCUUUCUUAGGUAACAGCUCAACUUCUCUGUGUUCAAUGAGAAUAUAGAGACAACAUCAGUUUAUGGGGAGCAACCUUAGUAAUAGCCUGAGUUCUUUAGGUGAUGUCCAUGAGAGGCCUUUGACCAACAAUCCAAUUAUAUGUAAUCUAUUUGUGGCACUGGAAGUUUCUCUUGGUGGAAAAGAUGGCUAGCUGGAGCAUUGUCUCCCCUAUUAUUUGGUAACUCCAUUUACAUUUCUUUCAUAUUUGCAUAUCUUUUAAGAAGUUUCUGCAGUAGUAGGUUACCAUGACCCCUCAAAUGGCCCAUUCUCUUCCUAUAUUCUCUUCCUUAACCUCUCUUUCCUCUCCUUCCCCAUUUAAUCUUCCUGUUCCAGCCCCCUUCCCCAUCUAUCCAUAACUAUAUAUACUGUUUUUCCUUCCUUGGGAGAACUUCCCAUCUACUCCGGUUGCUUACUCUAUACCUGUCCACUGUAGUUAUAUGACUUAGAACAUGCCUAAAAGCUAACAUCCACAUAUAAGUGAAUACAUACAAUAUUUGUCUUUCUGGGUCUGAGUUACCUCACUAAAGUGGGUUUUUUUUUCUAGUUUCAACCCUUUACCAGUGAAUUUCAUGACCCUUUUUUUUAAAAUUAAAGAACCGAAUAAUAUUUUAUUGUGUAAAUGUGCCAUUUUCAUUAUUCACUCAGCUGCCGAUGGACAUCUAGGCUGUUUACAAUUUUUUGGCUAUUAUAAAUAGAGCAGCAAUGAACAUGGUUGAGCUAGUGUCUCUACAGUAGGAUGAAGUGUCCUUUAGGUAUAUGCUCAAGAGUGCUUUACCUGGAUCUUGAGGUAUAUCUAUUCCCAGUUCUCUAGUGAGCUGCCACACUAAUUUCCAGAGUGGCUGUUCAAGUUUUUACUCCCACCAAUAAUGGAGGAGUGUUCACUUUUUCAUAUCAUGGUCAGCAUGAUCUGUUAUUUGUGUUUUUGAUUUUAACGAUCCUGACAGGUAUAAAAUGGAACCUCAAAGUAGUUUUGAUUUGUAUUUCUUUUUUUUAAUAUUUAUUUAUUUAUUAUAUGUAAGUACACUGUAGCUGUCUUCAGACACUCCAGAAGAUGGCAUCAGAUUUCAUUACAGAUGGUUGUGAGCCACCAUGUGGUUGCUGGGAUUUGAACUCAGGACCUUUGGAAGAGCAGUUGGCUCUCUUAACCGAUGAGCCAUCUCACCAGUCCCCUUGAUUUGUAUUUCUUUGAUUGCUAAGGAUGUUGAAUAUUUGAUUAAUUGUUUCUCAGUCAUUAGAGACUCCUGUUGAGAAUUCUGUUUACUUAUGUACCCAUUUUAAUUGGCUUAUUUGGCUGUUUGAUAUCUAGGUUUUUAAGUUCUUUAUUAUUUUAGAUCUUAACUCUCAAUCAGAUAUGUAAUUGGUAAAAAUUGUUUCCGAUUCUGAAGGCUUCCACUUUUUCUCAAUGACAGUGUUCUUUGACUAACUUUUCAGUUUUUUUUUAAAAGAUUUAUUUAUUUAUUUAUUAUAUGUAAGUACACUGUAGCUGUCUUCAGACACUCCAGAAGAGGGCGUCAGAUUUCAUUACGGAUGGUUGUGAGCCACCAUGUGGUUGCUGGGAUUUGAACUCGGGACCUUCGGAAAAGCAGUCGGCGCUCUUAACCACUGAGCCAUCUUGCCAGCCCAACUUUUCAGUUUUAUGAGUGCCCAUUUUUCAAUUGUUGAUCUUAGUGUCUGUGUGAUUGGUGCUUGUGAGUUCAAGGCUAUUCCCUACCUUAUCUUCUAUCAAAUUCAGGGUAUCUGGACUUAUGUUGAGGUCCUUGAUCCAUUUAGAGUUGUGCUUUGUAUUAUUCUAUAUCUGGCCAUCCAGUGUGAUCAUCAUAAUUUGUUUAAGAUUCUGUAUUCUUUCUUUAUCUAGGCUUCUUUAUUUAUUGCUUCUUUAUAAAAAGAAAUCAGGUGUUGAUAGGUGUGUGGAUUUAUGUCUGUGCCUUCAAUUUAACUGAUCAACAUGUCUAUUUUCAUGACAGUACCAUGCUAUUUUUAUCACUGUAGCUCUAUAGUACAAUUUGAGGACAGGAACAGUGACCUUUCGAGCAUUUCUUUUAUUAUCCAGGACUGUUUUAGCUGUUCUGGGUUUUUUUGUGUUUCCAAAUGAAGCUGAGAAUUAUUCUUGCAAGAUCUGUGAAGAAUUGUGUUGGAGCUUUGAUGGAAAGUACAUUGAAUUUAUACAUUGCUUUUGGUAAGAUGACCAUUUUCACUAUAUUAAUCCUACCUAUGCAUGAGCGUGGGAAAUCUUUCCAUCUUCUGAUAUCUUCUCUCAUUUAUUUCUUCAAUGUCUUAAAGUUUUUAUUAUACAAGUCUUUCACUUGCUUGGUUAGAAUUAUCUCAAAUUAUUUUUCUUUUGAAGCUAUUGUGAAAGGCAUUGUUUCCCUGGUUUCCUUCUCAAUCUCUCUGCCAUUUGUAUAUAGGAAGGCUACUGAUUUUUUUUUUUUUUUCAGAGAC
rnacentral:lncRNA from 1 species